GGGUCUCAGAGGUGAGGCGGGGUCUCGGAGGCGGGGGGCGGGGCCUCGGAGGUGAAGCGGGGUCUCGGAGGCGGGGGGCGGGGCUUCAGAGGCAGGGGUCUCAGAGAAAGGGGUCUCGGAGGUGGAGGCGGGGUCUCGGAGGUGGAGGCGGGGCCACGGAGGCGGGGCGGGCAUCUCAAAGGCGGGGUUGGGGGGUGUCUCAGAGGCGAGGCGGGGUCCCAGAGGCGAGGGUUGCCUGAACUUCGGGGCGUCACACUUGCUGCGGGUAGAUCCCGGGGUUCAGCCGACACAUGCA
rnacentral:lncRNA from 1 species